ensembl:lncRNA
AGACUACUGGAGAACGGUAGAGAGGAGGAUCACAGACUACUGGAGAACAGUAGAGAGGAGGAUCACAGACUACUGGAGAACAGUAGAGAGGAGGAUCAUAGACUACUGGAGAACGGUAGAGAGGAGGAUCAUAGACUACUGGAGAACGGUAGAGAGGAGGAUCAUAGACUACUGGAGAACGGUAGAGAGGAGAACCACAGACUACUGGAGAAUGGUAGAGAGGAGAACCAUAAACUACUGGAGAACGGUAGAGAGGAGGAUCAUAGACUACUGGAGAAUGGUAGAGAGGAGGAUCAUAGACUACUGGAGAACGGUAGAGAGGAGAACCACAGACUACUGGAGAAUGGUAGAGAGGAGAACCAUAAACUACUGGAGAACGGUAGAGAGGAGGAUCAUAGACUACUGGAGAACGGUAGAGAGGAGAACCACAGACUACUGGAGAAUGGUAGAGAGGAGAACCAUAAACUACUGGAGAAUGGUAGAGAGGAGGAUCAUAGACUACUGGAGAAUGGUAGAGAGGAGGAUCAUAGACUACUGGAGAAUGGUAGAGAGGAGGAUCACAGACUACUGGAGAAUGGUAGAGAGGAGGAUCACAGACUACUGGAGAACGGUAGAGAGGAGAACCACAGACUACUGGAGAAUGGUAGAGAGGAGAACCAUAAACUACUGGAGAACGGUAGAGAGGGGGAUCAUAGACUACUGGAGAAUGGUAGAGAGGAGGAUCAUAGACUACUGGAGAAUGGUAGAGAGGAGGAUCAUAGACUACUGGAGAAUGGUAGAGAGGAGGUUCACAGACUACUGGAGAACGGUAGAGAGGAGGAUCAUAGACCACUGGAGAAUGGUAGAGAGGAGGAUCAUAGACCACUGGAGAACGGUAGAGAGGAGGAUCACAGACCACUGGAGAACGAAAGGGUUCACACGACCAGACUUUGCAGACAUGACAAUCUAAAAAAAAGAAGAAAAGGAACAGAUACAAUGUCUCUUUCUCUCCUUGUGCCAAGCGGCUGGAAACGUAUCUGAUCACUUCAGUGGUCAAAGACUGGUCUGUACAACUGAAAACAUUGCUCCUUGGGCUACUUCCUACUUACGCACACAUGGAGUUGGAUGAACUAUACUACAGUGCAAGUGACGACAAAGAUGGAACCUGUUUAGGGACGACCUUAAUGGUGGACUAUGAUGAUAACGUACCCCCUUUUCCUUGUGAGCUUGAAUACCGUAUGU